rnacentral:rRNA from 1 species
UACGGAGGGUGCAAGCGUUAUCCGGAUUCACUGGGUUUAAAGGGUGCGUAGGUGGGCAAGUAAGUCAGUGGUGAAAUCUCCGGGCUUAACCCGGAAACUGCCAUUGAUACUAUUUGUCUUGAAUACUGUGGAGGUCAGCGGAAUAUGUCAUGUAGCGGUGAAAUGCUUAGAUAUGACGCAGAACACCAAUUGCGAAGGCAGCUUGCUACACUGUUAUUGACACUGAGGCACGAAAGCGUGGGGGAUCAAACAGGAUUAGAAAACCCCUGGU